GACCGGGUACGCAAACCGGCAAAGCGGUCACGUUGAGGGCGUGGCGAUUUUGUGGGUUCGACUCCCACCCCGGUCAC
rnacentral:tRNA from 1 species